rnacentral:tRNA from 1 species
GCCUUGGUGGUGAAAUGGUAGACACGCAGGACUUAAAAUCCUGUAGGCAGCAACGCCUGUGCGGGUUCGAGUCCCGCCCGAGGUA